rnacentral:rRNA from 1 species
UACAGAGGGGGCGAGCGUUGUUCGGAAUUACUGGGCGUAAAGGGCGCGUAGGCGGCCCGCUAAGUCGAACGUGAAAUCCCCAGGCUCAACCUGGGAACUGCGUCCGAUACUGGCAGGCUUGAAUCCGGGAGAGGGAUGUGGAAUUCCAGGUGUAGCGGUGAAAUGCGUAGAUAUCCGGAGGAACACCGGUGGCGAAGGCGGCAUCCUGGACCAACACUGACGCUGAGGAGCGAAAGCCAGGGGAGCAAACGGG